GUCUCCAGCCACACCACCCUGAACGCACCUGGUCUUGUCAGAUCUCAGAAGCUAUGCAGCGGCUCACGCCUGUAAUCCUAGCACUCUGGGAGACCGAGGAGGCAGAUCGCUCAAGGUCAGGAGUUCGAGACC
rnacentral:rRNA from 1 species